rnacentral:rRNA from 1 species
CUCGUAGGCGGCCACUCAAGUCGAAUGUGAAACCUCGAGGCUCAACCUCGAGCCUGCAUUCGAUACUGGGCGGCUAGAGUCUGGUAGGGGGAUCUGGAAUUCCUGGUGUAGCGGUGGAAUGCGCAGAUAUCAGGAGGAACACCGGUGGCGAAGGCGGGAUCCUGGGCCAGUACUGACGCUGAGGAGCGAAAGCGUGGGGAGCAAACA